UAAAUAAGUAAAUGUGGGAAUUGUGGUUUGGAAUGGAAAUAAAGAUGAGGUUUGGAAUAUAUGAAGUAGAAGAUAAGGAAUAUGGGGUUUUGGGGUUUGGGGUUUCGGAUUUUAGGGAUUUAAACGUACUACUCGUUAAUUCCUCGUAAGUUGACGUCGAAUGUACGACGUAAUCCUCGUUUAUUCCACGUAGGACAUAAUCGUCAUAAAGGACUCGUUAGGUAACGUGGAAAUUAAGACGAAAUUAAAAAAAAAAAUAAAGAAAGCGAAACCCGUUAAUUCCACGUAGGACGGAAUCGUCGUAAAGACCUCGUAAGGUAAAUAUACGUAAAUACCCCGUAAAGUAAAUGACGAAGGAGGCACUCUUUAAUUCCACGCAGGAUGAAUUCGUCGUAAACACCUCGUAACAAAAAUCGUCGUAAAAACCUCGUAGACUAAAAACUAGAAAAAAAGGAAAGGAAGAGAGAUACCAGAUUUACAUGUGGCAAGACUUCCAGCAAUUAUAAUACUUAAGUCUCGCCCACAUAAAUUCUAAUAUCUUCUUCUCUUUAUUUUUUUCCAAAUAUUUCUAAUUUGAUGAAAAGCGGGACUUGCUACUUCCUCAUAGUAUAAAAACUAGUAAAAAAAGAAAAAAAGAAAGAUUCUGGAAUUAUAUGUGGCGAGACUUACGUCUCGUCCACAUAAGUUCCAAAAUCUUCUUCUCUUUUUUUUUUCAAAUAUUUCUAAUUUGAAAAGCAUUUUGGUGAGGUGUGUGAUUUGAGAUAGGGUGUGUUUUGUGAGUUUGUGUGUGGUUUGAAAAGGAAAGUUGUGGGUAUUUAUAGAAAAUAUAAGCUCGCUAAUUCCUCGUAACAAGUUAACUCGUUAAUUCCACGUAAUGUAACUCGUCGUAAAAACGUCGUUAACGAAAACGCGGGCCUUUGUAAUUCGUCGCUAUUUCCUCGUAAAUGAAAACGCGGGCCUCUGUAAUUUCUCGUAACUUUACGAGGAAAUGACGAGGAUAAGUAAUCUUAUAUAUAUCCCCGAGCGAGCUCGCUCUUUCUUUCCUCUCCACUUCCUCCCCACUUCCUCCCUUUUUCGUAGCAAUGGUUCGAAAAGGUAGACUUACUGCCCAUUACAGAGAGAUGUUCGGUGAGCCGGAUAGUCGUUUAGACCCGUCGUCUUCUUCAGCUCCCGGUUCUUCGGGUCAGGAGACUGUCCCCGAGUCUUUGGAUCUCCUUCUUCUAGUGCACCAUCGGUUCCUCAUGUGCCUCCCCCGAUGGCUCCUCCUCCUGUGCCUCCUCUGAUGGCACCUCCGAUGCCCGCCGAGAUUCAUCCCGAUUUGAUGGUGCCUCCGAGUGCUCCUUACUCGCAGUACACCGUAGAGGACAUUCUCCGUCUGCCAGGCAGAGAAAGUUUACCAGUCAUCGACCCCGACCGACCGGACAGAACUUUGUGGUAUGUUUCAUUAUUUUUUUAUUCUUUUUAAAUUCUUUUAUAACUUUAAAAAAUAAUUUAUAUUUUAAAUUUUUAUUUUCCAGGUUUGGGAUUGACGGAUGUCAUGCAUCGGACGUAAACGACACAAUAAAAUGUUACUUCUCCAUGGCACAUCCGAACUGGAAAAAGACGGCACACUACGUCAGAAAGACGUGGUUUAAAAUUUACGCUGUAAGUUUCUAUUAAUUAAUUAUCUAUCUUUAAAUUUUUUCAUUAUUUAUAUAUAUAUUUUUUUCU